rnacentral:misc_RNA from 1 species
GAUGAAGAACGCAGCGAAAUGCGAUAAGUAAUGUGAAUUGCGGAAUUCAGUGAAUCAUCGAAUCUUUGAACGCACAUUGCGCCCGCUAGUAUUCUGGCGGGCAUGCCUGUCCGAGCGUCAUUUCAACCCUCAAGCCCCCGGGCUUGGUGUUGGGGAUCGGCGAGCCUCCGCGCCCGCCGUCCCCUAAAUCUAGUGGCGGUCUCGCUGUAGCUUCCUCUGCGUAGUAGCACACCUCGCACUGGGAAACAGCGCGGCCACGCCGUUAAACCCCCAACUUCUGAACGUUUGACCUCGGAUCAGGUAGGAAUACCCGCUGAACUUAAGCAUAUCAAUAAGCGGAGGA